GUCCCCUUCGUCUAGUGGCCUAGGACACCGCCCUUUCACGGCGGUAACAGGG
rnacentral:tRNA from 1 species